UACGAAGGGGGCUAGCGUUGCUCGGAAUUACUGGGCGUAAGGGCGCGUAGGCGGCGAACCAAGUCAGAUGUGAAAGUCCUGGGCUUAACCUGGGGACUGCAUUUGAUACUGGUUUGCUUGAAUUCGGGAGAGGAUAGCGGAAUUCCCAGUGUAGAGGUGAAAUUCGUAGAUAUUGGGAAGAACACCGGUGGCGAAGGCGGCUAUCUGGACCGACAUUGACGCUGAGGCGCGAAAGCGUGGGGAGCAAACAGG
rnacentral:rRNA from 1 species